rnacentral:rRNA from 1 species
CGGAACGGGUGAGUAAUGCGUGACCAACCUGCCCCAUGCUCCAGAAUAGCUCUUGGAAACGGGUGGUAAUGCUGGAUGCUCCAACUUGACGCAUGUCUUGUUGGGAAAGUGUUUAGUGGCAUGGGAUGGGGUCGCGUCCUAUCAGCUUGUAGGCGGGGUAAUGGCCCACCUAGGCUUCGACGGGUAGCCGGCCUGAGAGGGCGGACGGCCACAUUGGGACUGAGAUACGGCCCAAACUCCUACGGGAGGCAGCAGCC